GGUUUUUUGAAAUUUAAUAAAAAAUCAGGCCUGCCCACUGAUAAAGGGCUGCAGUAUUUUGACUGUACAAAGGUAGCAUAAUCAUUAGUCUUUUAAUUAGGGACUGGUAUGAAAGGUUAGACGGAAGCGGACUGUCUCGCGUAUAAGAAUAAAUUUUAUUUUUAAGGAAAAGAGCUUAAAUUUUGCAAGGGGACGAGAAGACCCUAUUAAAUUUGAUAUAAUAGUUUAUUCUUAAUUGUAUAAAAGGAGUAUGUUUAUAUUAAUUUUACUGGGGCGGUAUGUAUGUAACUUUAUUAGGGUUUAAUAUGAUAAAUAGCAGUAUUUUGAUCCAAAAGGAUUGAUAUUAGAUAAAAUUACUAUAGGGAUAACAGCGUAAUGUUUUUUGAGAGUUCAUAUUGACAAAAAUGUUUGCGACCUCGAUGUUGGAUUAAGAAGUCUUAUUGAUGCAGUAGUUUUUAAAGAAGGUCUGUUCGACCUUUAAAUUCUU
rnacentral:rRNA from 1 species